rnacentral:rRNA from 1 species
GACGAACGCUGGCGGCGUGCCUAAUACAUGCAAGUCGAGCGAAUCACUGGGAGCUUGCUCCCGGUGGUUAGCGGCGGACGGGUGAGUAACACGUGGGCAACCUGCCUGUAAGACUGGGAUAACACCGGGAAACCGGUGCUAAUACCGGAUAAUCCUUUUCCUCUCAUGAGGAAAAGCUGAAAGUCGGUUUCGGCUGACACUUACAGAUGGGCCCGCGGCGCAUUAGCUAGUUGGCGAGGUAACGGCUCACCAAGGCGACGAUGCGUAGCCGACCUGAGAGGGUGAUCGGCCACACGGGGACUGAGACACGGCCCAGACUCCUACGGGAGGCAGCAGUAGGGAAUCUUCCACAAUGGACGAAAGUCUGAUGGAGCAACGCCGCGUGAGCGAUGAAGGCCGUCGGGUCGUAAAGCUCUGUUGUUAGGGAAGAACAAGUACCGGAGUAACUGCCGGUACCUUGACGGUACCUAACCAGAAAGCCACGGCUAACUACGUGCCAGCAGCCGCCGCGG